rnacentral:rRNA from 1 species
GAUGAACGCUAGCGGCGUGCCUAAUACAUGCAAGUCGAGCGAACGGACGAGAAGCUUGCUUCUCUGAUGUUAGCGGCGGACGGGUGAGUAACACGUGGAUAACCUACCUAUAAGACUGGGAUAACUUCGGGAAACCGGAGCUAAUACCGGAUAAUAUUUUGAACCGCAUGGUUCAAAAGUGAAAGACGGUCUUGCUGUCACUUAUAGAUGGAUCCGCGCUGCAUUAGCUAGUUGGUAAGGUAACGGCUUACCAAGGCAACGAUGCAUAGCCGACCUGAGAGGGUGAUCGGCCACACUGGAACUGAGACACGGUCCAGACUCCUACGGGAGGCAGCAGUAGGGAAUCUUCCGCAAUGGGCGAAAGCCUGACGGAGCAACGCCGCGUGAGUGAUGAUGGUCUUCGGAUCGUAAAACUCUGUUAUUAGGGAAGAACAUAUGUGUAAGUAACUGUGCACAUCUUGACGGUACCUAAUCAGAAAGCCACGGCUAACUACGUG